rnacentral:rRNA from 1 species
CCUACGGGAGGCAGCAGUAGGGAAUCUUCGGCAAUGGACGAAAGUCUGACCGAGCAACGCCGCGUGAGUGAAGAAGGUUUUCGGAUCGUAAAACUCUGUUGUUAGAGAAGAACGUUGUGUAGAGUGGAAAAUUACACAAGUGACGGUAUCUAACCAGAAAGGGACGGCUAACUACGUGCCAGCAGCCGCGGUAAUACGUAGGUCCCGAGCGUUGUCCGGAUUUAUUGGGCGUAAAGCGAGCGCAGGUGGUUUAAUAAGUCUGAUGUAAAAGGCAGUGGCUCAACCAUUGUGUGCAUUGGAAACUGUUAGACUUGAGUGCAGUAGAGGAGAGUGGAAUUCCAUGUGUAGCGGUGAAAUGCGUAGAUAUAUGGAGGAACGCCGGUGGCGAAAGCGGCUCUCUGGACUGUAACUGACACUGAGGCUCGGAAGCGUGGGUAGCAAACAGGAUUAGAUACCCUGGUAGUCCACGCCGUAAACGAUGAGUGCUAGUUGUUUGGGGCUAUCCAGCCCUAAGUGACGCAGCAAACGCAUUAAGCACUCCGCCUGGGGAGUACGACCGCAAGGUUGAAACUCAAAUGAAUUGACGG